rnacentral:rRNA from 1 species
UAAGGAAUAUUGCUCAAUGGGAGAAAUCCUGAAGCAGCAACGCCGCGUGGAGGAUGAAGGGUCUAUGACUUGUAAACUCCUGUAAAGAAGGAAAAAAUUCCCAUUUGAUGGGAGAUGAUGGUACUUCUGGAGUAAGCCCCGGCUAACUACGUGCCAGCAGCCGCGGUAAUACGUAGGGGGCAAGCGUUGUCCGGAUUUACUGGGUGUAAAGGGUGCUCAGGCGGAUUUGUAAGUCAGAGGUGAAAUCUUACAGCUUAACUGUGAAACUGCCUUUGAGACUGCAAGCCUAGAGUAUGGAAGAGAGUGAUGGAAUAUCUGGUGUAGCAGUGAAAUGCGUAGAUAUCAGAUAGAACACCAAUGGCGAAGGCAGACACUUGGUCCAUUACUGACGCUAAAGCACGAAAGCGUGGGUAGCAAACA